UCAAACUUGGUCAUUUAGAGGAAGUAAAAGUCGUAACAAGGUCUCCGUAGGUGAACCUGCGGAGGGAUCAUUACAGAGUUGAACAAACUCCCAAAACCCACUGUGAACCAUACUAGAUUGUGACCUUGGCGGGUCGCUCCUGGGAGGAGCCUCAGCCGACCGGCACCCGCCGGGGGAACAAAAAACUCGUUUCAGCGUAUUCUCUGAGUACAAUCACAAAAAGUCAAAACCUUCAACAACGGAUCUCUUGGUUCUGGCAUCGAUGAAGAACGCAGC
rnacentral:misc_RNA from 1 species